UGAUUUUAAAAUUUGAUAAAACAGCCAAGC
rnacentral:piRNA from 1 species